UACGUAGGGUGCAAGCGUUGUCCGGAAUCAUUGGGCGUAAAGCGCGCGUAGGCGGCCCGGUAAGUCCGUUGUGAAAGUCAAAGGCUCAACCUUUGAACGCCGAUGGAUACUGCCGGGCUAGAGUCCGGAAGAGGCGAGUGGAAUUCCUGGUGUAGCGGUGGAAUGCGCAGAUAUCAGGAGGAACACCAAUAGCGAAGGCAGCUCGCUGGGACGGUACUGACGCUGAGGCGCGAAAGCGUGGGGAGCGAACAGG
rnacentral:rRNA from 1 species